rnacentral:rRNA from 1 species
AAUCAACGCUGGCGGCGUGCCUAACACAUGCAAGUCGCACGAGAAAGGGACUUCGGUUCUGAGUAAAGUGGCGCACGGGUGAGUAACACGUGACUAAUCUACCCUCGAGUGGGGAAUAACCUAGGGAACCUGGGCUAAUACCGCAUAACACUUACGAGUCAAAGCAGCAAUGCGCUUGGGGAGGAGGUCGCGGCAGAUUAGCUAGUUGGUGGGGUAAUGGCCCACCAAGGCGAUGAUCUGUAUCCGGCCUGAGAGGGCGCACGGACACACUGGAACUGAAACACGGUCCAGACUCCUACGGGAGGCAGCAGUGGGGAAUUUUGCGCAAUGGGGGAAACCCUGACGCAGCAACGCCGCGUGGAGGAUGAAGUCUCUUGGGACGUAAACUCCUUUCGACAGGGACGAUAAUGACGGUACCUGUAGAAGAAGCCCCGCUAACUUCGUGCCAGCAGCCGCGGU